rnacentral:rRNA from 1 species
GGCGAACGGAUGAGUAACACGUGGGCAAUCUGCCCUGCACUCUGGGACAAGCCCUGGAAACGGGGUCUAAUACCGGAUACUGAUCAUCUUGGGCAUCCAAGGUGUUCGAAAGCUCCGGCGGUGCAGGAUGAGCCCGCGGCCUAUCAGCUUGUUGGUGAGGUAAUGGCUCACCAAGGCGACGACGGGUAGCCGGCCUGAGAGGGCGACCGGCCACACUGGGACUGAGACACGGCCCAGACUCCUACGGGAGGCAGCAGUGGGGAAUAUUGCACAAUGGGCGAAAGCCUGAUGCAGCGACGCCGCGUGAGGGAUGACGGCCUUCGGGUUGUAAACCUCUUUCAGCAGGGAAGAAGCGAAAGUGACGGUACCUGCAGAAGAAGCGCCGGCUAACUACGUGCCAGCAGCCGCGGUAAUACGUAGGGCGCGAGCGUUGUCCGGAAUUAUUGGGCGUAAAGAGCUCGUAGGCGGCUUGUCGCGUCGGUUGUGAAAGCCCGGGGCUUAGCCCCGGGUCUGCAGUCGAUACGGGCAGGCUAGAGUUCGGUAGGGGAGAUCGGAAUUCCUGGUGUAGCGGUGAAAUGCGCAGAUAUCAGGAGGAACACCGGUGGCGAAGGCGGAUCUCUGGGCCGAUACUGACGCUGAGGAGCGAAAGCGUGGGGAGCGAACAGGAUUAGAUACCCUGGUAGUCCACGCCGUAAACGGUGGGCACUAGGUGUGGGCAACAUUCCACGUUGUCCGUGCCGCAGCUAACGCAUUAAGUGCCCCGCCUGGGGAGUACGGCCGCAAGGCUAAAACUCAAAGGAAUUGACGG